rnacentral:rRNA from 1 species
GACGAACGCUGGCGGCGUGCUUAACACAUGCAAGUCGAACGGAAAGGCCCUGCUUUUGUGGGGUGCUCGAGUGGCGAACGGGUGAGUAACACGUGAGUAACCUGCCCUUGACUUUGGGAUAACUUCAGGAAACUGGGGCUAAUACCGGAUAGGAGCUCCUGCUGCAUGGUGGGGGUUGGAAAGUUUCGGCGGUUGGGGAUGGACUCGCGGCUUAUCAGCUUGUUGGUGGGGUAGUGGCUUACCAAGGCUUUGACGGGUAGCCGGCCUGAGAGGGUGACCGGCCACAUUGGGACUGAGAUACGGCCCAGACUCCUACGGGAGGCAGCAGUGGGGAAUAUUGCACAAUGGGCGGAAGCCUGAUGCAGCGACGCCGCGUGCGGGAUGACGGCCUUCGAGUUGUAAACCGCUUUCGCCUGUGACGAAGCGUGAGUGACGGUAAUGGGUAAAGAAGCACCGGCUAACUACGUG